rnacentral:rRNA from 1 species
UACGGAGGGGGCUAGCGUUGUUCGGAAUUACUGGGCGUAAAGCGCGCGUAGGCGGACCUGCAAGUCGGGAGUGAAAGCCCGGGGCUCAACCCCGGAACAGCUUUCGAAACUGCUGAGCUAGAGUACAGAAGGGGCAACCGGAAUUCCCAGUGUAGCGGUGAAAUGCGUAGAUAUUGGGAAGAACACCUGAGGCGAAGGCGGGUUGCUGGGCUGAUACUGACGCUGAGGCGCGAAAGCCAGGGGAGCAAACGGG